UACAGGGGGUGCAAGCGUUGCUCGGAAUUACUGGGCGUAAAGCGUGCGCAGGCGGCUCGUCAAGUCGGGGGUGAAAGCCCGGGGCUCAACUCCGGAUCUGCGGUGGGUACGGGCAGACUAGAGUGAUGUAGGGGAGACUGGAAUUCCUGGUGUAGCGGUGAAAUGCGCAGAUAUCAGGAGGAACACCGAUGGCGAAGGCAGGUCUCUGGGCAUUAACUGACGCUGAGGAGCGAAAGCAUGGGGAGCGAACAGG
rnacentral:rRNA from 1 species